GUAUCUUUAACUCCUAUCUCAACCUCCUCGUGGUGCUAGCUGGAUUAUGGUUACAUUACAUGCAUUUUUAUGCAUUAUUAUGUAUCUAUAAACUAAUAGAGAAGG
rnacentral:ribozyme from 1 species